CGAGUUCGAGAUCGGGAAGCCAUCAGUGCGAUCAGAUCAGUAAGCAAAAAUAUAACGUCCGAGACAUCUAGAGGGAGCAGUGUUGUGCAAGUGAAGAAAGGAAUCAAAGAAGUGCAAAAAGGCAGUCAGUAAAAUCCCGUCAGUGCAGCAAGUGAAAUCAUAAAAAUGGUGGACAGUGGUUGACAGAUUCUUCGCGGUUCAGCCAGCAGAGUGUUGUCUUUGUAUAUGGGCUUCGUCGUCGUCAUCGUAACCAUCGGCGUAGCAGCCUACUACUAGUGUGCCGUAUGUGCUGCGCUCUGGAAUAACAGCAUAAUCGUCGUCAUACAUCGAAGGAGGCGAAACACAAAGCAGAAGAACCCAAAUUCGGAGAG